AGAGUUUGAUCCUGGCUCAGAUUGAACGCUGGCGGCAUGCCUUACACAUGCAAGUCGAACGGCAGCACGGGAGCUUGCUCCUGGUGGCGAGUGGCGAACGGGUGAGUAAUAUAUCGGAACGUACCCUAGAGCGGGGGAUAACGUAGCGAAAGUUACGCUAAUACCGCAUACGAUCUACGGAUGAAAGUGGGGGAUCGCAAGACCUCAUGCUCAUGGAGCGGCCGAUAUCUGAUUAGCUAGUUGGUGGGGUAAAAGCUCACCAAGGCGACGAUCAGUAGCUGGUCUGAGAGGACGACCAGCCACACUGGAACUGAGACACGGUCCAGACUCCUACGGGAGGCAGCAGUGGGGAAUUUUGGACAAUGGGCGCAAGCCUGAUCCAGCAAUGCCGCGUGAGUGAAGAAGGCCUUCGGGUUGUAAAGCUCUUUUGUCAGGGAAGAAACGGUUCGGGCUAAUAUCCUGGACUAAUGACGGUACCUGAAGAAUAAGCACCGGCUAACUACGUGCCAGCAGCCGCGGUAAUACGUAGGGUGCAAGCGUUAAUCGGAAUUACUGGGCGUAAAGCGUGCGCAGGCGGUUGUGCAAGACAGAUGUGAAAUCCCCGGGCUCAACCUGGGAAUUGCAUUUGUGGCUGCACGGCUAGAGUGUGUCAGAGGGGGGUAGAAUUCCACGUGUAGCAGUGAAAUGCGUAAAGAUGUGGAGGAAUACCGAUGGCGAAGGCAGCCCCCUGGGAUAACACUGACGCUCAUGCACGAAAGCGUGGGGAGCAAACAGGAUUAGAUACCCUGGUAGUCCACGCCCUAAACGAUGUCUACUAGUUGUCGGGUCUUAAUUGACUUGGUAACGCAGCUAACGCGUGAAGUAGACCGCCUGGGGAGUACGGUCGCAAGAUUAAAACUCAAAGGAAUUGACGGGGACCCGCACAAGCGGUGGAUGAUGUGGAUUAAUUCGAUGCAACGCGAAAAACCUUACCUACCCUUGACAUGUCCGGAAUCCUUGAGAGAUCAGGGAGUGCUCGAAAGAGAAUCGGAACACAGGUGCUGCAUGGCUGUCGUCAGCUCGUGUCGUGAGAUGUUGGGUUAAGUCCCGCAACGAGCGCAACCCUUGUCAUUAGUUGCUACGAAAGGGCACUCUAAUGAGACUGCCGGUGACAAACCGGAGGAAGGUGGGGAUGACGUCAAGUCCUCAUGGCCCUUAUGGGUAGGGCUUCACACGUCAUACAAUGGUACAUACAGAGGGCCGCCAAUCCGCGAGGGGGAGCUAAUCCCAGAAAGUGUAUCGUAGUCCGGAUUGUAGUCUGCAACUCGACUACAUGAAGUUGGAAUCGCUAGUAAUCGCGGAUCAGCAUGUCGCGGUGAAUACGUUCCCGGGUCUUGUACACACCGCCCGUCACACCAUGGGAGCGGGUUUCACCAGAAGUGGGUAGCCUAACCGCAAGGAGGGCGCUCACCACGGUGGGAUUCGUGACUGGGGUGAAGUCGUAACAAGGUA
rnacentral:rRNA from 1 species